rnacentral:rRNA from 1 species
AUUGAACGCUGGCGGCAUGCCUUACACAUGCAAGUCGAACGGCAGCACGGGUGCUUGCACCUGGUGGCGAGUGGCGAACGGGUGAGUAAUACAUCGGAACAUGUCCUGUAGUGGGGGAUAGCCCGGCGAAAGCCGGAUUAAUACCGCAUACGAUCUACGGAUGACAGCGGGGGACCUUCGGGCCUCGCGCUAUGGGGUUGGCCGAUGGCUGAUUAGCUAGUUGGUGGGGUAAAGGCCUACCAAGGCGACGAUCAGUAGCUGGUCUGAGAGGACGACCAGCCACACUGGGACUGAGACACGGCCCAGACUCCUACGGGAGGCAGCAGUGGGGAAUUUUGGACAAAGGGCGAAAGCCUGAUCCAGCAAUGCCGCGUGUGUGAAGAAGGCCUUCGGGUUGUAAAGCACUUUUGUCCGGAAAGAAAUCCUUGGCUCUAAUACAGUCGGGGGAUGACGGUACCGGAAGAAUAAGCACCGGCUAACUACGUG